CUGGGACAGUAGGAACGUAUAAGAAGCCGUACGAUGCCACACGAGGUUUCCUCCACCUUUGGGAAGCAGCACUCGUGUCCCCGAGGUUUUCCAGUCUGCAUUUGUCACUGAGGCUGUGCAGUGAGGAUGUCGUACAGCAGCUGUUGGGAAAUCGCUGGCAGAGAGCAAUCUGAUAGAUAUUUAGAGGAAACAUGGCGAACGUCUCUCAUAUACAGUGACAGCUACCGCUUCAUCUCAGCAUCCGCCCUGGACACUCCCUUCAAUUCUUACUCUAAUUAAGUGCAAUUAGACAAUAGGCACCUAAAAUAUUCAUGCUGCGAUUAACCUCACCAGUCGUUUCAACAUAUAAUUUACAAGUACUGCAGUGGGAACUGCGAUGUGCUUCUUGAGUGUCUUAAUGUCAACGUGGCACCAGUGUGUGAAACAGACCUGUAGGUGUCUUCAGAGGCUCUGACAGUAUUAUAGCAGCUGCUGACUGGAGUUUAUGCAUCAUGUUCUCAAUGAUAAUCAAAGGACAACAUGAGACAUGAAGUGACAAGAUGCCACUUGGCAAAGGCAGGACACACAGUGUAUCAUUGUGGACGCUCUCGUCUGCAGAAACUAUCUCCCUCUUCACAUGAAAGGUGGAGUGACCAUCUGACAAUUUUGGCUCACAGUGAUGUGAACACAGGCACAGAAUGGAUGGAUGUGUUAUUAGUGCUGUCCUCAUAUUGUAAUCCCAUCUGUCUCGUGGCGGGCCGUCGAGGGG